rnacentral:misc_RNA from 1 species
AUAUAUAAUAUCAAACCCUCUUUGUUGAGCGGUUUGGAUGUGGGGGUUUUGCUGGCCUUUUAAAAGGUUCAGCUCUCCUGAAAUGCAUUAGCGGAACAGCCUGUUUGUUCAUUGGUGUGAUAACUAUCUACGCUAUUGAAUGUGAGGGGCAGUUCAGCUUUCUAACAGUCCUUGGACAAUUCAUCAUUA